ensembl:lncRNA
UUAGUGAGUUUGUAAGCCGCCCAGCUUCAUCACUGGAACUGUGUGUCAUUAUCAGUUUAUGUCUUAUUGUCUCUUUGUUCUCACUCACUUCUGUGUUCAUCUACACAAACUACAUUUCCAGUUCUCAAAUUUAGAAUUACUCAUUUUAUUUGUAUGAAAGAAAAUGGAAAAUUGAACACCGGUGAACAGAUUUCAAUGAUACUGUAAAACAUUGAGAUAUUUCAGUGUCAAGAUUACAAAUCUGCUGAUUUGACUAGUGAUUUAUUAUUCAUUUUAACAUUAAUGUGCUUUAAGUUUCCAAAAUCUUUCUGUGCUCAGUUUAUAUUUUAAAACCUGUUUUUUCAUUGUAUAUCAAGGUUUUUUUUUAACACAAGUAAACUCUUAUUGUGAGGUUUCAGCGAGAGGUUACUUUGAAUGUCAAGAAAUAAAAUCAAGAAUCAAAUUUGUACUUCCAUAAAUGAAACACAUUACUGGAAUGCGAGUAUUUCUGAACUUGUUGUGACUUGUCCUUUACAGACAGUGCUGCUCAAGUCACCCGGAUUUAAACCGAGUCACAGAUGAUUCAUACUUCAGAUCAAUGACUGAAUUUAAAGAUGAAUUCGAUUUACUUGUGAUUUGGAUUUCAGUUUAUAUCCUUCUUAAUUUUUAUUUUUAUUUUUAAGACAUCUACAUUAGAAAUCAACUGGAAACUAACGGGGUAAAAGAGGGGAAAGGAUUCGUACACAGAAAUCCAGAUUUUAACCUGCAUCAUUUGGAUAAGCACCAAGGCUCAAUGUGUUAGAAACAUGAUUGCUGACACCGUCUGCUUGCACUUAUUCAGGCAAAGCAGGGUUAAAGCACAAUACCACCAGUUGCCCUACUGGGUCACACAUAAAAAAAGGUUUUUACUCUGUGGACAUGGGACCAUGUGAUCAGAACAGAGAGCACAGGAGAAGAGAACAGUAGGGUCACUGGCUCUACCUGGAGGCGUCCUCUGUCCCUGCAAUCAAAAACUAGUAUGGCAUCCAAACUCUCUCAGAGACCAAACUCGGAUGUCAACAGACAUCACAAGGACAAGAAUCUUAUAGCAAAUGCAUGGCAUAGUAUGACCACAGCGUUCCAUCAGAUAUCAGAGAAUGAAGCGAGAGAUUCCAGCCAUCCUCAGUCAUUUCUCGGCCAACAGAGAUUGUCUGCUGCUCUCAGGAGGGUCCAGCUCAGCAAAGACAAAUAAUAAAUAAUAAUAAUAUAAACCUUAUUGCAUAUUAGGAAUCCUAUAGUGCACAGGGCAUUGGUGAGACACAAAGUCAUUGGCUCCACCUGCUGGACACUGAAUGCGUCUACAUGCACAAUUAUGCUGAUAGACUGUAAUUAUUAUAUAUACAUACACUGAGUAAAUAUGCAAAAAAGAAAAUGUCAGAAAAUAACUUCAUAACAUAACCAAGCCAAGUUAUUCCAGAUAGUGUAUUGUCCUCUGGUAUUAUCAGAUCAUAUUUCAGUCUUCUGCAAACACACCUGUGAGAUUUCAUGUCUUAGGCUGUAGCUUUUUUUUAUUCUAUGGUAAAAAUGUAAUUGUUUUAACAAAAAAUUUAAAACAUUUUUUUAAUUGUUUUAGUGCAAAACAACCAAUGAUUUUUAGAGUGUUUUUUUGUUGUCUUUAUUUAGCAAUAGCCAAUUAUUACAAGAUUUAAAAUUAAUUUAAAUGUGGAUCUUUGAUGAAAGAUUAAAUUGUAUUAUUAUGUGGCUCAGUCCAAAAUCAAAGUUGCAAAUAAAGGGCAGUUCAAGUUCAAAUGUGGAGAAAGAUUUACAUCUUGUGGUAAAAUCUUUUCUUAAAUCAAGAAGUCCCUUUGUUGCGUGUUCCCCUUGGGAAAGUUUUUUCCAAAGGGAUUAUUAAAGCUCGUAAAUUUGAUUCAGACUACUUGUCAUGCACAGUGUACCUGAAGAUAGGAAACACUUAACACUUGAGCUCAACAUCUGACUGUUUGAACUUCAGGUGAGCAAGAUCUACCCGUGAGAAAGAACCAUUUAUUAAGCCAUAAACACGUAAGUAAGUGAUUAUUGUGCAUAAUGGUUUUUCAUUGUGAAAUGAAGAACAAUUUCUUAACCAUAUUAGCUACUAUUAAUGUGUUUUUUUUUUGUUGUUUUUUUUUGUUUGUUUUUUUUUUUUUACUAUAAAUUAAAACCCCAUGCGUUGUUCUUGAAUAGGCUAACAAAAAAAUUAUAGGCCUACCUCUACAUAACCUACACAAUCGAUGCUGCUUUAAGUUGUAAAAUAAAAAUGUACCGGCAUUACGUCAAAGAAUAAAUGUGAAACAACAGUUGCUAUAUGCAAUCGCCCCACACAUGCCCAGCACUGCAUAUCUCCUGAGAGUGGUCCAGUUGGCAUAUUGAACCUUUUUAAGCACACAACAGCGAAGCUUUUCCGUUCCCACGGAGUGAUAUGAAGAGGAGAGAUGAAAGGAGCACUUGUCACUUCCACACGAAAACUCACCUGUCACUCACAGCCAUUACUCAGACAGGUACGAGCUAUAUUCACCCCUACUAUAAAACAAUGAUGACCAGUCAUGAAAGAACCUGCUGAGAGUAUAUAAUCGUCGGCUCUGGCUCCAUGUCCACAACGACAGCAGGGUGACCCCACGGAACCCUGAACCGCGAGAUUUUUCAAAAAGCACUUUCUUCUGCGACUUUUUCGUGCGUGACAGUGGGAGAAAAGAAAUCAGUUUUCGAGUAU